UACGUAGGGUGCAAGCGUUGUCCGGAAUUAUUGGGCGUAAAGGGCGCGUAGGCGGUUCGUACAGUCAGACGUGAAAUUCCUGGGCUCAACCUGGGGGCUGCGUUUGAUACGUGCGGGCUUGAGUUCGGAAGAGGGUCGUGGAAUUCCCAGUGUAGAGGUGAAAUUCGUAGAUAUUGGGAAGAACGCCGGUGGCGAAGGCGGCGACCUGGUCCGAUACUGACGCUGAGGCGCGAAAGCGUGGGGAGCAAACAGG
rnacentral:rRNA from 1 species